rnacentral:rRNA from 1 species
UACGUAGGGGGCUAGCGUUAUCCGGAUUCACUGGGUUUAAAGGGUGCGUAGGAGGUCAGGUAAGUCAGUGGUGAAAUCUUCGAGCUUAACUCGGAAACUGCCGUUGAUACUAUCUGUCUUGAAUACCGUGGAGAUGAGCGGAAUAUGUCAUGUAGCGGUGAAAUGCUUAGAUAUGACAUAGAACACCAAUUGCGAAGGCAGCUCGCUGGGACGGUACUGACGCUGAGGCGCGAAAGCGUGGGGAGCAAACAGG